AUGAGGAACAACCGCAAUGGCGGAGCCAGCUCUGGAGCCCUGGAGUCAGCUCCUGCAGGAACUCCAGAGCUCUCCCGUCUGCAGGGCCUGGAGGCUCCGGGGCGGG
rnacentral:pre_miRNA from 1 species